AUUGAACGCUGGCGGCAGGCCUAACACAUGCAAGUCGAGCGGAUGAAGGGAGCUUGCUCCUGGAUUCAGCGGCGGACGGGUGAGUAAUGCCUAGGAAUCUGCCUGGUAGUGGGGGAUAACGUCCGGAAACGGGCGCUAAUACCGCAUACGUCCUGAGGGAGAAAGUGGGGGAUCUUCGGACCUCACGCUAUCAGAUGAGCCUAGGUCGGAUUAGCUAGUUGGUGGGGUAAAGGCCUACCAAGGCGACGAUCCGUAACUGGUCUGAGAGGAUGAUCAGUCACACUGGAACUGAGACACGGUCCAGACUCCUACGGGAGGCAGCAGUGGGGAAUAUUGGACAAUGGGCGAAAGCCUGAUCCAGCCAUGCCGCGUGUGUGAAGAAGGUCUUCGGAUUGUAAAGCACUUUAAGUUGGGAGGAAGGGCAGUAAGUUAAGACCUUGCUGUUUUGACGGUACCAACAGAAUAAGCACCGGCUAACUUCGUG
rnacentral:rRNA from 1 species